UACGAAGGGGGCUAGCGUUGCUCGGAAUCACUGGGCGUAAAGCGCACGUAGGCGGACUCUUAAGUCGGUGGUGAAAUCCUGGAGCUCAACUCCAGAACUGCCUUCGAUACUGAGAGUCUCGAGUCCGGGAGAGGUGAGUGGAACUGCGAGUGUAGAGGUGAAAUUCGUAGAUAUUCGCAAGAACACCAGUGGCGAAGGCGGCUCACUGGCCCGGUACUGACGCUGAGGUGGCGAAAAGCGUGGGGAGCAAACAGGG
rnacentral:rRNA from 1 species